CUGGCUUCUAGGUCUAAAUCAGUCCCUGAUUAGAGGGGGACUGGUUUCUAGGUCUAAAUCAGUCCCUGAUUAGAGGGGAACUGGCUUCUAGGUCUAAAUCAGUCCCUAAUUAGAGGGGGACUGGCUUCCUGGUCUAAAUCAGUCCCUGAUUAGAGGGGAACUGGCUUCUAGGUCUAAAUCAGUCCCUGAUUAGAGGGGAACUGGCUUCUCGGUCUAAAUCAGUCCCUGAUUAGAGGGGAACUGGCUUCUAGGUCUAAAUCAGUCCCUGAUUAGAGGGGAACUGGCUUCCUGGUCUAAAUCAGUCCCUGAUUAGAGGGGAACUGGCUUCUAGGUCUAAAUCAGUCCCUGAUUAGAGGGGAACUGGCUUCCUGGUCUAAAUCAGUCCCUGAUUAGAGGGGAACUGGCUUCCUGGUCUAAAUCAGUCCCUGAUUAGAGGGGAACUGGCUUCCUGGUCUAAAUCAGUCCCUGAUUAGAGGGGAACUGGCUUCUAGGUCUAAAUCAGUCCCUGAUUAGAGGGGAACUGGCUUCCUGGUCUAAAUCAGUCCCUGAUUAGAGGGGAACUGGCUUCCUGGUCUAAAUCAGUCCCUGAUUAGAGGGGGACUGGCUUCUAGGUCUAAAUCAGUCCCUGAUUAGAGGGGAACUGGCUUCCUGGUCUAAAUCAGUCCCUGAUUAGAGGGGAACUGGCUUCCUGGUCUAAAUCAGUCCCUGAUUAGAGGGGAACUGGCUUCUAGGUCUAAAUCAGUCCCUGAUUAGAGGGGGACUGGCUUCCAGAUAUCAAGAUACAUAUCUAUAUGUUAUAUGGCCUUCUAACUGUUGAAUGCUAUGUGUACAGUAUAGUUACGGCCCUAAGCCAGGCUAGGUACUGUGGAGGCAUCAGCUC